GGGGACGUUGUGUAGUCAGAGUGGUUUGGGACAAUGGUUUGGUUGUUCUGAACUCGGCUAAGAAGCAUGGCAGGCUCCAGACCUGUUGGUCGAGAGUUCAAAUCUCUCCGUCCCCACCA
rnacentral:tRNA from 1 species